UAGCCUUGUAGCGGGGGAUAACUAUUGGAAACGAUAGCUAAUACCGCAUAACAAUGGAUGACACAUGUCAUUUAUUUGAAAGGGGCAAUUGCUCCACUACAAGAUGGACCUGCGUUGUAUUAGCUAGUAGGUGAGGUAAUGGCUCACCUAGGCGACGAUACAUAGCCGACCUGAGAGGGUGAUCGGCCACACUGGGACUGAGACACGGCCCAG
rnacentral:rRNA from 1 species